CAGCAGCCGCGGUAAUACCGAGGGUGCGAGCGUUAAUCGGAUUUACUGGGCGUAAAGCGUGCGUAGGCGGCUUUUUAAGUCGGAUGUGAAAUCCCUGAGCUUAACUUAGGAAUUGCAUUUGAUACUGGGAAGCUAGAGUAUGGGAGAGGAUGGUAGAAUUCCAGGUGUAGCGGUGAAAUGCGUAGAGAUCUGGAGGAAUACCGAUGGCGAAGGCAGCCAUCUGGCCUAAUACUGACGCUGAGGUACGAAAGCAUGGGGAGCAAACAGGAUUAGAUACCCCUGUAGUCCCUGUCUCUUAUAC
rnacentral:rRNA from 1 species